UGUUAUGGGCGGGCCGUGCGGGGCAUCUUCGGAUGCGCCGGAACUCUAGGCCGGUACGCCAACCUGUACGGUCCGCCCUCCCUG
rnacentral:antisense_RNA from 1 species